UGGGGGUUUAGCUCAGUUGGUAGAGCGCCUGCUUUGCAAGCAGGAUGUCAGGAGUUCGAGUCUCCUAACCUCCACUGACCGAACUUGAUUCCCAUCUCCAAUUUUUUGGAGUUGAGCUCGAUUGGAGUGUGAUUUAGAUGUGUCCGCUGGAUGAUCCCAGCUUCCUGUCAUUCCAAGUUUUAGGUUGAAGCCUUGAAUUUUGGUUGAUAAGAUGCUGGGCUCAGAUCAAAUGAUCAAGCAAUUGAUGAUUUGAUUUGAAGUUCUAGCAGAACCUUGACAACUGCAUAGGUGAGUCUGGAAAAAACAAAGCAUCUUACAGAUGCAUUGUUUUGAAUCUGAUCUUCCGAAAGGGAGAUUGGAUCUAGAACAAUGAAAAUUCUUUUGAGCAAGAGCCGAGACUCUUAAACGUUCUUUGAUUCGUGUCGAGCAAAUCAGAGUUUGAUCUUGUUUUUAGCAAUAAAAACUUGAGAAUCUGCUUUCAACGGCGGUAAGCGUUUAGGAGGUUAAUUGGUCAAGCUACAAAGGGCUCA
rnacentral:tRNA from 1 species